AUUGAACGCUGGCGGCGUGCUUAACACAUGCAAGUCGAUCGGUAACAGGGUGUAGCAAUACAUGCUGACGAGAGGCGGACGGGUGAGUAAUGCUUGGGAAUCUGCCUAUUAGUGGGGGACAACCCGGGGAAACUCGGGCUAAUACCGCAUACGCUCUACGGAGGAAAGCCGGGGACCGCAAGGCCUGGCGCUAAUAGAUGAGCCCAAGUCGGAUUAGCUAGUUGGUAGGGUAACGGCCUACCAAGGCGACAAUCCGUAGCUGGUCUGAGAGGACGACCAGCCACACCGGAACUGAGACACGGUCCGGACUCCUACGGGAGGCAGCAGUGGGGGAAUAUUGGACAAUGGGGGCAACCCUGAUCCAGCGACGCCGCGUGGGUGAAGAAGGCCUGCGGGUUGUAAAGCCCUUUCGGUGGGGAAGAAAAGUCUCGACCUAAUACGUCGGGACCUUGACGUAACCCACUAAAGAAGCACCGGCUAACUCUGUGCCAG
rnacentral:rRNA from 1 species